CCUAGUGCUGAUUCCCACAGUGUCUUUUCCUUCAACUUGCAACUUUUUAUUGUUGCCUAGCUGAACUGUUAUCUUAUGAGUUUCAUCCAAUUCUUAAAACAAGCUUUUGGUGCCAGUCAUAUGAUUUGAACAACCAUUGUCUACAAACCACAAAUCACUUGGUGUAUGGUUAGUAUCAAAGCACGCCAUAAAAAGCUUGUUUUCAUGCUCACUUUCUGAUUUUGCGACAAAAUUCAUCUUUUCAUCUUUAUACCAACAGUUAGCUUUAAUAUGCCCGUACCUCCU
rnacentral:lncRNA from 1 species